GACGAACGCUGGCGGCGUGCCUAAUACAUGCAAGUAGAACGCUGAAGAGAGGAGCUUACUCUUCUUGGAUGAGUUGCGAACGGGUGAGUAACGCGUAGGUAACCUGCCUUGUAGCGGGGGAUAACUAUUGGAAACGAUAGCUAAUACCGCAUAACAAUGGAUGACACAUGUCAUUUAUUUGAAAGGGGCAAUUGCUCCACUACAAGAUGGACCUGCGUUGUAUUAGCUAGUAGGUGAGGUAAUGGCUCACCUAGGCGACGAUACAUAGCCGACCUGAGAGGGUGAUCGGCCACACUGGGACUGAAGCACGGCCCAGACUCCUACGGGAGGCAGCAGUAGGGAAUCUUCGGCAAUGGGGGCAACCCUGACCGAGCAACGCCGCGUGAGUGAAGAAGGUUUUCGGAUCGUAAAGCUCUGUUGUAAGUCAAGAACGGGUGUGAGAGUGGAAAGUUCACACUGUGACGGUAGCUUAACAGAAAGGGACGGCUAACUACGUG
rnacentral:rRNA from 1 species